GCAGGUAUGAUGGAAUUGGGAGACAUGUUUGAUUUAGGCUCAAAUGGCAAUGCUGUGCAGGUUCAAGUCCUGCUA
rnacentral:tRNA from 1 species